rnacentral:rRNA from 1 species
UACGUAGGUGGCAAGCGUUGUCCGGAAUUAUUGGGCGUAAAGAGCUCGUAGGCGGUCUGUCGCGUCGGCUGUGAAAUCCCGAGGCUCAACCUCGGGUCUGCAGUCGAUACGGGCAAACUAGAGUAUUGCAGGGGAGACUGGAAAUUCCUAGUGUAGCGGUGAAAUGCGCAGAUAUCAGGAGGAACACCGGUGGCGAAGGCGGGUCUCUGGGCAAUAACUGACGCUGAGGAGCGAAAAGCGUGGGGAGCGAACAGG